AUGAGAACAGAAGCCUUAUCUGUAUCCUGAGGAUCUAAAACUGCUGGUUAAUUUAGAGAAAAUCAUUGUCUUUUAUAAUAUCGAAUCUUCCUAUUGGAGAGUAAGGUAUGGAUUUCUAGUUAUUCAAUUUUUUAUGUUAGUAGAAUUUUAAAGUUUUAUUUUUAUAUGUUUUAUGUGUUCCUUGUUAGGUUUAUUCCUAUUUUAGUUGCUAUUGUGAAGGGGAUAUUUUUCCCUUAUCUUUUUGAACUGGUUGUGGGAAAGCAAUUACCAGUACGUCACUAAAUCCUAUUAUUGUUUUUAAUAGGUUUUCCAUAAAUUUCCUCAGGCUUUCAAGUUACACAGCUAUGUCAUCAACAAAUAGAGAUUAUUUUGCUCCUAUAAUAGCUAUCCCAAGUUUGUGCCUCAUUUAAUUAUCUUGUCUAAUUGUGUUAUGUAUUGCCUUCAGAAUAGUAAUAGUGGUGAUAAUGGGGCUUGCACCUUUUCUCUGACUUUAAUGGAGAGUCUCACAUUUCAUUAUUCAGCAUGAUACUGGUUUUCGGUUAGAAAUAUAGAGUAUAAAAAGUAUGUCAAGAAAGUAUCCAUUCCUAGAUAACUAAAUCAGAAAUACAUCUUGAAUUUUGUUAAAUUCAUCUUUUGGGCAUCCAUUGAGAUGACCGUGUGGGUUUUUUCAUUUGACCUAUUAGUACAAUGAAUUAUGUGUAUUUCCUAAUAUUGAAUAACUCUUGCACUCUUAGAAUGGACCCCACAGUUUUUACUUCUUCAAUUUACUGCUGAAUUCCAUUUGUUAAUAUUUUAUUUAUUUUACAUCAAUAUGUAUAAGUGAGAUUUGUCUGUGGCUUUCUUACAUGUGAACUUUGUUCGGAGUCCAUGCAUUUCCCAAACUGUUUUUUGUAGUCCCUGACCAUUCAAGGACUGAAGAUGUGCCUAUAUUAAGGGAGGACUCCACUGAAUGCCAGCCAUCCAUCCCUUCCAUGUUUCUUUGCUGCAUAUUAUCGUUUCUGAGACAUUUUAUAUGCUCCUUGGAUAUCUAUGGGAAUAAACAUCAUUAAUUGUAAAUGUGGAGAUGCUAGCACAGAUUGUUUAAUCCAAGUAGACUAUUUAAACAAACUGCAGUGGAAUUUACUGAGAAAUGAUAAAUGAUGGCUAUUCUAUUAUUUUAUGUUUGUUCUUUAAAAAAUCAAUAUUGUUUAUAAAGGUAAUUAUUACUUUGUAUUAAGUGAUUAAUACAGUAUUAAAGGCUCUUAAUAAAAAAAGUCAGCCUCCAUCCUAUCAUUCCACAUACCCUAUUCUUCUUUCCAUGUCAACAAAUGCAGUUCUAGCUGUUUCCCCUCAUAUUAUGUCCAUAUUUCUAUAUAAUGUGCAUAUAUUGCUAUUUAUUUAUUUUAAAAUAAUAGACUUCAUAUUUUAGAGCAGUUUAAGGUUUAUAGAAAAAAUGAAUGGUGGCUGGGCAUGGUGGUUCACGCCUGUAAUCUUGGCACUUUGGGAGGCCGAGGCAGGCGGGUCACUUGAGGUCAGGAGUUCGAGAC
rnacentral:lncRNA from 10 species